rnacentral:lncRNA from 1 species
GACGCAGUCGUUUGUCAGCUCUGCUCUCUCCUCUCCAUUCCUCUUUCCCACUGUCAGGAUGACAAGAGGGAUUAACGGCCCUGGAUGGGUGGUUGGCGGUCGAUCUCAGGCAGAGCCCACCCUGGUCGCUGAGGCAGGCUGUAGUAUCAGAAGACAGGAGGCCAAGUAAGACAGAUGCAGGAGCUACGCGAGAAAGCCCAGUGUGACGCCUCAGUUUCCCCUUCUCAGUCAGUCUGCACAUCAUCCGGUACAUUUUUUCCCAGCCAAAACCCCAGAUGCUCCUCGGUUCUCUGCAGCCUCUCCCCAGGCUCUUCCCUGGUUCUGCCUCCAGGAUACGCGCUGGCUGCACUCUCCACCUCUGCCUCCCUCAGCAGCCUCCCGACAGACAGCAGAGACCCCGUUAGCAGGCAGAUCAGGCUGCCUGCUCAGCACUUCAGUGGGGCUCAUUUCAUCCGCAGAAUCCCAACUCCCCACCCUGAGCUGUGAUCCAAAGCUGUGGCAUCCCUGCCGUGUGGUGGACACUGCUCCUAAACACUUGGAGGACAAGAGCCAACCGAAGCAGAAGCCAGCCCUGCCUCCUCGAGGGACUCACAUUCUCCCACAGAGGGAAUCUGCAGCCAGCUGACCUUCACUGUGAGCGAACGCAGGACGUAAGGCAACUUGGGGGAGGAAGCGCUCCCUCGCUUGGGCUCAGUUUUGGGGUCUCACUCCAUGGCUGCUUGGCCCCGCUGCUCUGGGUCGGGUGGCCCAGCACCUCAUGGGGGAGUGGGGAAGAGGUCAAGCUGGCAAAGUCCCCCCGAGGCCGAGCCCCAGUGACCCAGCUGCCUCCCCAGGCCCCACCUUCUGAGACCCCCAACAGGCUCGCUGGAGACUGCGCUUCUCACACACGGACUUUAGGGAAGGCCCAGGUGCGCACUGCGGCAGGAGUUGACAUGCAGCACACUUAAGGACAGGCAGAGAGAUGAAGGCAGGAUGCCGACCCUGGGCGCCGCAUGGAGCUGAGAGGAGCUGCAGUGCGGAGAAACGGGGACAGCCCAACGCCUGCAGGCCGGAGGGCAUCCGGGUUCCAGGGACCAGCAAGAGACCACGUGGAAGCAAGGAGCAGCAGCAGAUUCUGAGGGGCGGACUGUGCUCAGGUGGUACUCUUGACAGAGACGGAAACAAGCGAGAGGGAGGGACGAGUGACCGAGACCAGUGUGGGACUGCGGGGAGGGGGCCAGGGCAGUGCCGCCUCUGUGCAGAAGCUGGGACCCUGUCACUGUCCCGCAACACACAGAAGCCAGGAUCACACCAUGCCAGCCAGGUGGCCUCCUCCACGGCGGCCACUGCAGGGGUUGUGUCAGGGCUGCUGCUGCAGAGACGCUGGGGCUUUGGAACCUCACCAGGGCACCGUGUCGCCCUACACGCCUCUAUGCUGAUGGGGCGCUCGUGCUAGUCCCUUAAAUACCGUGAAGCACGUGGCAGGGUCACUGUCCUUCACACACAACUGGACAGAGACCGACUUCCUCGUGUGGUCAGAAACUAGCAGAGGACUGAAGCCUCCCUGUUGCGGGGGCUUCGACUGGCUCAGGGCUUCCGGAGCCUGAGCUCAGCAGGCUGCGUGGAAUCCGCCUCACCCCACAGUUUAGGCUCAAAGGCCCAGAGCCCCCUGAAGUCGGACUCCAUGGAAGGAGCGAGAGGCAGACUGUGACCAGAGGGCCUGUGGGCAGUGUCCCAUCUGGGCACACAGGGCCUCGUGGUAAGCGAGGGGUCACCCCCAGGAUGGCGCAGUUCUGGGGCGGAGGCGCUGCUCUAGGAACGUCUCACCUGGCCUCUUGGGCCUGGGCAGCUCUGCCUUUGGCUAUUAGUGAAGCCAGGCCCAGUCCAGAGACAGGAGAUGUGGUCUCAGCCAUGGAGGAAAUUCUCCUUACCUCAGUGAAAAACUGGGAACAAACGUAAGAGAAGGCACUACUCGCUAGCCAUAAAUCACUGCACCCCAGCUUCUUCCUGUGUAAAACGAGAGUAAAACCAUCUCCCCUCAGUGUUAUCAGUGCUGAAUGAGGGGAUGCCUAGAAAGGGCAUGAGGACCCUGGGCUCAAGUGAAGGCCUCGACUGUUACCUUCUGAUUGUGGGAGAUCAGUGAGCUCCCAAGAAUGUGUGUACAGCCCUUAAAUGUAUGUUUUUGGUACGUUUUUAGUAAAAUAAUAGAGUCUUGAAAUCCUAAGUGUGUAAACAGGAUAUAAUUGUAACUACACAGGGCAAAAGCGACUGUAAGAAAUUUCUCAGUGCGAGGCAGAAAAUAGAAACUCAGAUCUCCAAGGAAGCGUCCUGCUCAGUGCUUCCUGAGAAGCAGCACCUGCAAACCCUAACAGCAGCUCCCCUCAGUGCACAUCUGCGUGAUCCUGGCCUCGCAGCCCAGGGCCUGAGCAGGCUCGGAGGAAGCAGAAAGUUGGGGACGCAGCUCUGGCUCCGCUCCGUGCGCAGUUCUUGUCUAGCAUGCAUGCGGGAGCCCUGGGUUGGAUCAGCUCUGGGGCAGAAACGGAAGGAAGCAGCAGAAAGUGCGCUGUCAGAUUCACAAGGGUAGAUCAGGACGGAGCUGGGCUGUGUGAGGGAGGUGAAGGGUCCUGUGCUCUGCCCUUUUCUGUUUCAGGUUCUGGGCAGAAGGCUCAGGCCCCUUGGGACUGAACAGGGGAGGAUAUCAAUAGCGGUAGGUGGGCAUCGCAGACGCGAUCCCGAAUUGUUCAGAGCAUUCUCAUUUUCCCUGGUGGGCCAUUUCCUAGCUGAUGCUGAGACAGAGAGAGAGACCUUUUGCAAAAAGGAAGAAGAACCAGAAAUGGGGGGAGGAAGGAGGGAGUGGAGAGAAGGGGAUAGAAAAAGAAUUAGGAGUCUCGUGCACAUAGACCAACUCCCCACGAAGAAUGCAGUCAUUCUGCACUGCCAACUUGUGCUAGCACAAUAGAAAAUGGCCUCUUUGAGAUGCAAUUCAUGUACCCUAAAUUCUCCUUUAAAAAAGGGUCCAGUUCAAUCAGUGGGUUUGGCACAGUCAUGGAGUUGCAGCAGCAUUACUGGUGUCUGAUUUUAGGAAAUUUUGUCACCAAGAAAGAAACUACCUAUUAGCUGUCAGUCAGAAUUCCCUUCCUCCACUGUCAGGCCGGUUAUAACUCGAGGGUCCACUGUACCGGCAUUCUAGUGCAAACCUCAAACAUGUUUGCUAUCAGCUGAGCGAGUACUUGGUAUUUAGGUGCAAUUUAACACACCAGCCCUAUCACUUACAUGUGACUUCAUGCCAAUAGUGGACUGAGAAUAAGGCAAACUGAUUUCUCAAAAAGGUAUGAAGAAAUGUGUUCACACGCAGUGGAGUACUACUGUGUCCCAAACAAGGGUAAACCUGAGUCAUUUGUAGGAAAAUGGGCCCACCUUGAGAUGAUGAUGCUAAGUGAAGCAAAUCAGACACGUGAGCUUAAACAUCAAAAGGCUUCUCUUAUAUGAGAAACCCAAAGCAUAAAUAAAUGAAAGAGCCAAAUGAAAGACAGAUAACAGGAAAGAGGGAGAUAGGUCUUUUGGAAAUGGGAAGGGGACAGACGUGGAGGGAGGAGUGGAGGGGAUGGGGAUGUGGAAAGCACUGCGAUUGUCACAUCCACCCACCGGCUCCUCACAGGGCUGGGCUCCUUCUGCUCUGAGCCUGCAGGACGUGGACUGGUAAAACUGAAGGGUAAAGGAGGCGUGGAGGCAUGGACUGACCCCUAGGGGCUGGACUCUGCUUUGCUAAGGAGAGCCGCCGAACUCAGCUCCAAUUGGGUCUUUUAUUAACUUCUCCAAGGAGACGAUGUGC